ACUCCUACGGGAGGCAGCAGUGGGGAAUAUUGCACAAUGGGCGCAAGCUGAUGCAGCCAUGCCGNUGUGGUGAAGAAGGCCUUCGGGGUUNUAAAGCACUUUCAGUCGUGAGGAAGGUAGUGUAGUUAAUAGCUGAUUAUUUGACGUUAGCGAUCAGAAGAAGCACCGGCUAACUCCGUGCACCAGGCCGCGGUAAUACGGAGGGUGCGANACGUUAAUCGGAAUUACUGGGCGUAAAGCGCAUGCAGGUGGUUUGUUAAGUCAGAUGUGAAAGCCCGGGGCUCAACCUCGGAAUUGCAUUUGAAAC
rnacentral:rRNA from 1 species